rnacentral:rRNA from 1 species
CGUAGGAGGCGAGCGUUGUCCGGAUUUACUGGGCGUAAAGAGCGCGCAGGCGGCACCUCAAGUACUCUCUGAAAUCCACCUGCUCAACGGGUGGGGUGGAGAGUAGACUGAGGGGCUAGAGAGAGGUAGAGGGGGGUAGAAUUGCUGGUGUAGCGGUGAAAUGCGUAGAGAUCAGCAGGAAUACCCGUGGCGAAGGCGGCCCCCUGGGCCUCUUCUGACGCCGAGGCGCGAAGGCUGGGGGAGCGAACGGGAUUAGAUACUCCGGUAGUCCCAGCAGUAAACGAUGACCACUAGGUGUGGGGGGUGUUGACCCCUUCCGUGCCGAAGCCAACGCAUUAAGUGGUCCGCCUGGGGAGUACGGUCGCAAGACUA